GCCUAGUUCAGGAGGAGUCUUCAACCACUAGUGAAGAGGAGUCUUCACCCACUUGAGGAAGAUGUAGAGGAGGAGUCAAUUGCACACAAGAUCCAACCAAAAUUUGACUUAUGCUUUUAACCCAACUUCUCUGGAAGAGACACAUUCUAUAUACAGGUAUUGGAGUGGUGCAGGGGCUACACUGUGCGUCCAGGGAGCUGUUGUUGUGGGGGGUUAAGUGCCUUGCUCAAUGGCAUGUAGUGGUAGGAUUUGAUACCAGCAACCUUCCAGCUGACUUCCCGACAGAUUCUUCUGGUCGGUCCGGGAUUGAAACUGGCAACCUUCCGGCUGCUGGCUGGCCUCUAACCGCAAGGGGGAAAUUAUUUCAUGGAGUUUGUAAUUGCACUAUAGUCUAUUAGUCUAAUAAUCAAAUCCAUGUUUGUUGUCCAUGUGGACUCAGGGCAUAUCUGACUGUGUACCCUGGUUCUGCGAUACAAGAGAAGACAAUAUUUGAAGCAAUAAGUCAUUCAUAGUUUUUAUUGGAGAAAAAUGAAGUGUACAAUAUGCUUUUUUUGAGAGAGCGCGUACAUUGUAAUAGCUAAUUUAUCAUCUGAUGAAAUGCUAUUUUAGUGGAUAGUGUUUCAGAUUGGGAUUGUUUUUAAAGUUGAAGUCAUCUGCACAACUAGAGGGUGGUGGGCAUCAUGUUAGGGUGAGUAACUAUCCAUCCUGACUGGCAGCAUGCUAGCAGUAACCUAUAGUAACCUAUAAGUUGUAUAGCAUCAGAUUGGCAGUAUGAUGGAGGAGGACCGGGACAACAGACAGAACUGACUCCAAUCUAAGUUCUAGAAUAGAAUUCUGUAAUAGUUCUAUUGAAGUCUGUUCUACACUGUAGAAGGCUAGUUACUAGAGCUCGGUUCGUAUCAUAUAUGAUAUUAUGCACUGCUAUUGUUUUAUGUUUUUAAUGACCAUCGCACCAAACUCUGGUUAGAGGAUUAAAUUAGGUUUGAGAGGCAAGACGUUGCAGUAUAAUGACAUUCACUACUUAAAAUGUUAAUGAAAAUAAAUCCAAUGUUCUUAAUAACCUGUGCUUAUAUUGAAGAUAUUGUAUAAUUCUGUUUAUUUAAUGUUUAUUUAAUCAAACUGAAAAGUUGAAUAACAUUUUGAACAUGAUUCAGAUGACUUGGUAGCGAUAGUUUACUUCAAUAUUAGUCCAAAUCUGAGCUUUUUUGUCAUAAAUCAAAUCUUUAUGUAAAUAAUUAACUUUUACAUAAAAUGUCACAAGUGUUUGAAUAAACUUUGGUUGAUCCUGAA